UUGUGAUCAACAAAUGAUUUAUUUGUUAUGGAAUUUACCCAUGGAAAACUAGCUCAUGAAGUGUUUUUAGAUAGAUGUGAAGUCUUGUGAAAUCACCAGUCCCAUAUAGUGAUAGCGAUAACGAUGAUGAAGAGUGCUGCGUU